AUUGAACGCUGGUGGCAGGCUUAACACAUGCAAGUCGAACGGUAACAGGAAUUAGCUUGCUAAUUUGCUGACGAGUGGCGGACGGGUGAGUAAUGCUUGGGAAUCUGGCUUAUGGAGGGGGAUAACUACGGGAAACUGUAGCUAAUACCGCGUAAAAUCUUCGGAUUAAAGGGUGUGACUUUCGAGCCACCUGCCAUAAGAUGAGCCCAAGUGGGAUUAGGUAGUUGGUUAGGUAAAGGCUGACCAAGCCGACGAUCUCUAGCUGGUCUGAGAGGAUGACCAGCCACACUGGAACUGAGAAACGGUCCAGACUCCUACGGGAGGCAGCAGUGGGGAAUAUUGCACAAUGGGGGGAACCCUGAUGCAGCCAUGCCGCGUGAAUGAAGAAGGCCUUAGGGUUGUAAAGUUCUUUCGGUGACGAGGAAGGUUGAUAGGUUAAUAGCCUAUCAAAUUGACGUUAAUCACAGAAGAAGCACCGGCUAACUCCGUG
rnacentral:rRNA from 1 species